AUGGAAACACACCUGCUGCUGAUUUUAAUUUUGACUUCAGGUGUGAUGACUGCAGACCAGAUUAGACCAAAUCAAGAAACUAGUGUCAUAAAGGAAGAGGAGACUGUGACCCUCAGCUGCACAUAUGAUACAAGCAGCAGUUAUGUUUAUCUGUACUGGUACAGACAGUAUCCUAAUAAAGAGCUUCGCUAUUUGUUAUUCAAGCCUGCACGAUCAGGUAGUGCAAGUGGGAGUCCCGAUGAUCCUCGCUUUCAGUCGACUACAUCACAGACAUCCACUAAACUCACUAUUACUGGUGUAACUCUGUCAGAUUCAGCUCUCUAUUAUUGUGCUCUUAAGAGGUGUAAAUCUGAGGAUGCUGUCCACCAGAAUAUGAGAGUUCAAACAGCAGAUGAAUGUGCAGCAGCUGCAAUAAUCAAUUGCACGUAUACAGGCAUUGAUCCAUCGCCAACUCUCUUCUGGUAUCAGCAACAAGCGUGA